CGUAGGGUCCGAGCGUUGUCCGGAAUUAUUGGGCGUAAAGAGCUCGUAGGCGGCGUGUCGCGUCUGCUGUGAAAGGCCGGGCUUAACUCCGGUUUGCAGUGGAUACGGGCAUGCUAGAGGUAGGUAGGGAGACUGGAAUUCCUGGUGUAGCGGUGAAAUGCGCAGAUAUCAGGAGGAACACCGGUGGCGAAGGCGGGUCUCUGGGCCUUACCUGACGCUGAGGAGCGAAAGCGUGGGGAGCGAACAGGAUU
rnacentral:rRNA from 1 species